UUUUUAAAUGGCCGCAGUAUUCUAACUGUGCAAAGGUAGCAUAAUCAUUAGUCUUUUAAUUGAAGGCUGGAAUGAAUGGUUGGACGAAAUAUUAACUGUUUCAUUUGAAUUUUUUAUAGAAUUUUAUUUUUUAGUCAAAAAGCUAAAAUUUAUUUAAAAGACGAGAAGACCCUAUAAAUCUUUAUAUUUUGUUUAUUUUAAUUAUAAAGAUUAUUUUUAUUAUAAUAAAUUAAAAUAUUUUAUUGGGGUGAUAUUAAAAUUUAAAAAACUUUUAAUUUUUUAAAACCAUUAAUAUAUGAAUAAUUGAUCCAUUAAUAAUGAUUAAAAAUUUAAGUUACUUUAGGGAUAACAGCGUAAUUUUUUUGGAGAGUUCAUAUCGAUAAAAAAGAUUGCGACCUCGAUGUUGGAUUAAGAUAUAAUUUUGGGUGUAGCCGUUCAAAUUUUAAGUCUGUUCGACUUUUAAAUUCUU
rnacentral:rRNA from 1 species